GACGAACCGAGCGAACGUUAUUCGGAAUCACUGGGCUUAAAGGGUGCGUAGGCGGGCACGCGAGUCAGGGGUGAAAUCCCACGGCCCAACCGUGGAAGUGCCUCUGAUACCGCGGGGCCUCGAGGGGGAUAGGGGCGUGCGGAACUUCCGGUGGAGCGGUGAAAUGCGUAGAUAUCGGAAGGAACACCGGUGGCGAAAGCGGCGCGCUGGAUCCCUACUGACGCUGAGGCACGAAAGCCAGGGGCAGCAA
rnacentral:rRNA from 1 species